CCUGCCCUGCCCCCUCAGUCUCCUUCCACCCAGCAGUAGCAGCUGCCAAACUUGGUGGGAAAAAAAAAAAUCGAGAGAGCUAUCCUUGAGACUUUCACCUGUGCUCAGAACUGAAACUCUCCUGCUGUCUGCCUCCUCUCCAUGCCUGCCUCUGAUCUGCACAGGACUUCCCUGAAUGGGGUCCAGGGAAUCCCUUCUCCUUGCUUAUGAGUGAAGUACACCUGACUUAGCUGUCAAGCUUUUGCAAGCCACAGCUGUAUGUCCGGUUUGUCAACUCUGGCAAAUAACACCUGUAACAGAAAUAGCCCCCAGAAUGUGUA